GUGACUAGAAUUGCGGUUGUUGGGUAUAAAAUACCCCCCAGUCAAAGUUCGUGACAGGAGUGACCCUCCGGGGAUUCUACCGACUUUCGACCUUCGGCGACAUCUCUCCGAACCUCUCUGGCGGCCAAGCCUCUACAACAAUCCCAAGUUUUGCCGACGGAUAAGCCCCCACCAGCGUCGACCGGAUUCUUCAUGACGGACGGACUCCACCCAAGUUUCCACGAUGAUCGACCACCUUCUAGACUUUAUCCAGACUCCUACGGGAGCUGGACUUCGUCCACGACUCCAGCUGCAGGAAGACUUCGUUCGGACUCCUACGGAAGCCGGACUUCGCCCCCGACUUCUAUUGCAGGUAGACUUCGUCCGGACUCCUACGGGAGCCGGACUUCGCCUCCGACUUCAGUUGUAGGUAAACUCCGUCCGGACUCCUACG
rnacentral:lncRNA from 1 species